rnacentral:misc_RNA from 1 species
CAAUUCAGUAAUUGUGAUAAAUAGUUACAAAGACUAUUUUAUUUAAGCAUGUAAAAAUUAGAAACUGCUAAUAAUUAAUACAAAAACUCUGCCAAAAUUACUAUUUAUUUGCUAUCUCACUUUCAUUUACAUGCUCUACAUACAAAUUCUAAGUUUAUUGUCAUAGUGGCUGACUAGAAGGCUAUUAACCUCAUUUUUCUUUGUUUUAUAGGCUUAUGUGACACUAGAAUUGAAUUUCACGGCAGCAUCACUUGUUAUGAUGUAUUACCGUUAGAGGCUGAAGAAUUGGGAUCGUGGACUUUGAUAGUGCGUAGUCCAUGGUGGUAGCGGUGAGGAAGAUGGCGGCCGCUUCGAGAAGGUUCUCGGUCACUGUAGGGUCGAGGUGGCGGCGAAUUUUGAGAAGGUGGCCGUGGACUUGGUUGUUUUGCAUUAUUGUAAGAUUAGGGUUAUUGGGUUAUCUGGAAACUGGGAAAUGGUAGUUACGGGUGCGAG